GUCAGCAGGUUGUUCCUUUGUGCUUGAUCUAACCAUGUGGCUGCCAGGUUCCUAAAAGUGGAACAUGGUUCUGUCAAGCACCAUGGAACGGCCCGGCAAA
rnacentral:pre_miRNA from 12 species